GACGAACGCUGGCGGCGUGCUUAACACAUGCAAGUCGAGCGGUAAGGCCCUUUCGGGGGUACGACGAGCGGCGAACGGGUGAGUAACACGUGGGUGACCUGCCCUUAGCUCUGGGAUAAGCCUGGGAAACUGGGUCUAAUACCGGAUAUGACUCCAUGACGCAUGUUGUGGGGUGGAAAGCCUUGUGCGGCUAGGGAUGGGCCCGCGGCCUAUCAGCUUGUUGGUGGGGUGAUGGCCUACCAAGGCGACGACGGUAGCCGGCCUGAGAGGGCGACCGGCCACACUGGGACUGGAGACACGGCCCAGGCUCCUACGGGAGGCAGCAGUGGGAAUCUUGCGCAAUGGGCGAAAGCCUGACGCAGCGACGCCGCGUGAGGGAUGACGGCCUUCGGUUGUAA
rnacentral:rRNA from 1 species